AUUGAACGCUGGCGGCAGGCCUAACACAUGCAAGUCGAACGAGUGGCGGACGGGUGAGUAAUGUCUGGGAAACUGCCCGAUGGAGGGGGAUAACUACUGGCAACGGUAGCUAAUACCGCAUACCAUCGGAUGUGCCCAGAUGGGAUUAGCUAGUGGGUGGGGUAACGGCUCACCUAGGCGACGAUCCCUAGCUGGUCUGAGAGGAUGACCAGCCACACAGGAACUGAGACACGGUACAGACUCCUACGGGAGGCAGCAGUGGGGAAUAUUGAACAAUGGGCGCAAGCAUGAUGCAGCCAUGCCGCGUGUAUGAAGAAGGCCUUCGGGUUGUAAAGUACUUUCAGCGGGGAGGCGUUACCAGCAGAAGAAGCACCGGCUAACUCCGUGCCAGCAGCCGCGGUAAUAC
rnacentral:rRNA from 1 species